CCCCGGCCCACGCCACUCAAAGAUAGGAUGGCCCUGGGGAGCUGGGACUACAGCUCCCGGCGUGCACCGCGCCGGCAGGAGCUCAGUCACAGUGAUUUAUUGAUGGAAAAUCAGAAGGAGACAGUCUUCAAAAUGGCCAGUCAACUGAAGAAGCCAGACUGGGAACAUCUGUAUCUUCCUAUUUGAAAACCUCACCUGUUGCUUGCUCCUACAGAGUACCUGGAAACACUGACCACUCACUUUGCCAGUUGAAGACUGCCCGGUCAACUCCGCUGGAAGCCUGGGAUCAUGGAGAAGGAGACAGACUGUAGCACUGUGCUGCAAGUGUGGGAAGCAUGGAAUUUGUUUUGUGGAGGCUGCAAGGAGGGAGAAGUCUGCUGAGUAUUCACAGACACUGCAGCCAGUCUCAUAGGGAGAAGCUGAAAUGCACUUUCCAUGUUUAUGGGAACAUGGAGUUUGCUGUGCAAGGCCAAGCUGAUUAAGUCUGGUAUCCUGCUUCAGACAACAAUGAACACUGGCUGCCAGAGGAGAUGCAAGAAAUGCUGUAGUAAAACAAAGAUUUCUCCAUGCAGCAUGGGCAUUUCUUGUCAUCCUACAAUAUCUAGGUCACUAGUUAAUCAUGUCAACAACUAGUCACCAGCAUGAGUUGGGAAGGGUGAAGGCUUUACUCUGAACUGUUCCAGUCAAUGCCCUACAUGAUUCCUCUCAUUUAGCUGAAACAAUAAUGAACAAAGAAUGAUACCCUCCUCAUCCUGUUCCUUCUGAAAUAUAUGACAAAUCCCAUAUUAUUAUCAAAGAUGUAGGUUCAAACCUGUCAUUAUCUCACACAGAGCACAGUAAAUAUCGUGACUAAGAGUUAACAGUGUGUCAGCAAUGACCAUGUGUAAGUCUUAUUCGCAUGUUUGAUGUGAACUGAACCAGGUUGCCAGCUGCAUUCUUCAAUGAGAAUGCAGCAACUACUCUGAAUAACCAUAUUCCAUCACUGCAUACUACAGGUAAAAAAUGCAGGUGAA